CUACGGGCGGCUGCAGUUAGGGAACUUUUACAAUGCACGUAAGUGUGAUAAAGCGAGCCAGAGUGUUUCUCUUAUUUGAGAAACUUUUGUCUGUUGUAAAAAGACAGAUGAAUAAGGACUGGGAGAGACUGGUGCCAGCCGCCGCGGUAAUACCAGCGGUCCAAGUCGCAGUCACAAUUAUUUGGUCUAAAACAUCCGUAGCUUGUUUAGUAAGUUUUUUGUGAAAUCUUAUCUCUUAAGGGUAAGGCGCGCAAGAAGUACUGUUGAACUAGAGACUGGAAGGAGUAAGAAGUACAGUUAAGGUAGUGGUAAAAUACGUUAAUCUUGACUGGACUAACAAUAGCGAAGGCAUCUUACUAGUACAGAUCUGACAGUGAGGGAUGAAGGCUAGGGUCGCAAAACGGAUUAGAUACCCCCGUAGUC
rnacentral:rRNA from 1 species